UCAGGAUGAACGCUAGCUACAGGCUUAACACAUGCAAGUCGAGGGGCAGCAUAACGAAAGCUUGCUUUGUUGAUGGCGACCGGCGCACGGGUGAGUAACGCGUAUCCAACCUUCCCCAUAGUAGAGGAUAGCCCGGCGAAAGUCGGAUUAAUACUCUAUGUUGUAUUUUGAGGACAUCUGACGAAUACCAAAGAUUGAUCGCUAUGGGAUGGGGAUGCGUCUGAUUAGCUUGUUGGCGGGGUAACGGCCCACCAAGGCGACGAUCAGUAGGGGUUCUGAGAGGAAGGUCCCCCACAUUGGUACUGAGACACGGACCAAACUCCUACGGGAGGCAGCAGUGAGGAAUAUUGGUCAAUGGACGAGAGUCUGAACCAGCCAAGUAGCGUGCAGGAUGACUGCCCUAUGGGUUGUAAACUGCUUUUAUGCGGGAAUAAAGUCAGGUACGUGUACCUGUUUGUAUGUACCGCAUGAAUAAGGACCGGCUAAUUCCGUGCCAGCAGCUGC
rnacentral:rRNA from 1 species